AACUGACUUGCUUAUUGCACCACAUGUGUUUUUCUUUGAAACAAACUUGCUUUGGCGGUGGGCCCAGCCUGCCGCCAGAGGUCUAAACUUACAACCAAUUUUUUAUCAACUUGUCACACCAGAUUAUUACUAAUAGUCAAAACUUUCAACAACGGAUCUCUUGGUUCUCGCAUCGAUGAAGAACGCAGCGAAAUGCGAUACGUAAUAUGAAUUGCAGAUAUUCGUGAAUCAUCGAAUCUUUGAACGCACAUUGCGCCCUCUGGUAUUCCGGAGGGCAUGCCUGUUUGAGCGUCGUUUCUCCCUCAAACCGCUGGGUUUGGUGUUGAGCAAUACGACUUGGGUUUGCUUGAAAGACGGUAGUGGUAAGGCGGGAUCGCUUUGACAAUGGCUUAGGUCUAACCAAAAACAUUGCUUGCGGCGGUAACGUCCACCACGUAUAUCUUCAAACUUUGACCUCAAAUCAGGUAGGACUACCCGCUGAACUUAAGCAUAUCAAAAGCGGGGAGGAA
rnacentral:rRNA from 1 species